rnacentral:lncRNA from 1 species
GUUGGAGCAAGAAGAUAAAUUUAAAAAGAAAAUUAGAAGGUUAAAAUAACUAAGGUCAAAGUUAAAAAUGAGGUCAGUUAUGAAAUAAUUUAAAGCAGAUAUUCUAAGUAAGUAAAGGUUGAAAGCCAACAGGGUAAUAAGGUAAGAUUUAAAAUAGGACAUGAGAUACUUUAAUCCUUCAUGAGAGUAGGAUUAAAGAUAAAAAUAAUCAGAUGAUUUAUAUGGAUGUUAAGAUAUCAUCAAACAUAAAAAAAAAGUUUAAGUUAGAAGUAAAAAGAAGAGAAAACAUACAAGGAGUAAGAGGGCUUGGAGCUUAUCUGUCUUUUCCCCCAAAAUAAUCUUUUAAUGGAGUAGUGGUGUCUUAAUGGGGUAAAAACCCAAGAGGACAGAGAGCAAUGUGACACCUUGGUCAUGGAGGCUCCCCUUUGCUCCCCUCAGCAAGUACCAGAAUGCCAGCCUCACCAGCAGUAACCAGAGAAGACAGACAGGAGGUUUCAUACAGCAAACUCACAGCUGGAUGGCACCAACCUGACCCAGGAGAAACUCCCUGGCCUGCCAGCUACAUUCCCUCCUGGAUUAUCUCCUCCAAAUUUAGCCCAUGCACAGAGUCAGGGGAACUACCCUCUCGAGAUCAAUAACCUAUGAAAACUCAGGUUUCAACAGUUGUCUCGUGUCUCUAGAAAGUUUAAGGACUGGCCCAGCCUCCAGAGUUUUUAAAAAGGUAUUUAUUCAAUAAAUGUUUAUUGAGCCUCUUCCCUGUCCCAGGCAGCGUACUAGACUCCAGGAAUGCGAUGAUGAAUGAACAACAGAUCUCUCUUAACAGAGGUCCAGACUUGUUACAUGCGGCGGAUAGGGAAGUUUUAACAGGUAGUUUCAAUGCAUCACCAACGGCACAAGUGGAAGCCUUGGCUUUGAGCAGGAGGAGGGUCACAUUUCCUCUGCAGCUGGAAGGAAAGUGAGGACACGGGAGGAGGAAAGCAGGGAGGGCUGAAAGCUGGGGAAAGCAGGACAAGGAAGGAAAUGGAAGAGAGUGAAACCAGAAGGGAAGGUUUAAGCCUUCACACAUUCUUCAUGACUGUAUGAAGUAUACUAUGCUUUAGUAUACCUUCUGUGUUUAGAAAGUUAAUUGACUGGGCGCGGUGGCUCACGUCUGUAAUCCCAGCACUUUGGGAGGCCAAGGCGAAUGGACCACAAGGUCAGAAGUUCGAGACCAGUCUGCCCAACAUGGUGAAACCCUGUCUCUACUAAAAAUACAAAAAUUAGCUGGGCAUGGUGGCAGCGCCUGUAAUCCCAGCUACUCGGGAGGCUGAGGCAGGAGGAAUUGCUUGAACCCUUGAACCCGGGAGGCGGAGGUUGCAGUGAGCCGAGAUCGUGCCACUGCACUCCAGCUCUGUGGGACUGAGCAAGAC